GUUUCCCAGCUCUCAGUGAUUGGAUGAGAGUGGAGUAUAAAAAGCUGCUCUCUAGGUUGUUUGUUCCUUUUCACUGCGGGCGUCUCCCCUUCGAGGGGGGGUGAUUCCCGCCAUCCUACCUUCUUUCUAAGGAUGUGUGGCGAAUUCCUCUGUCCACAGCAGGGACACUAGUGCAUUUGUGCACUAGUGAACAGAACAGUGAUGAAUGGAUCCAUCUGGAAAGUGAAAGAAUUGAAGCCAAACAAUUCAAGGCAAUGAAAAGUUGUCUGAAUAUUUGGUUUUAGUUCAGUGAAGGAAAAGAAGGACUGAAGAACCGAGAACUUGGUAUUAUGAUGCAACUUACGAUGAGCUAUGACACAACUUACAAUACGCUAUGGUGCAACCUACAAUCCAAUCUACAGUACAACCAACAAUGCAAUCUACGAUAAAACUACAGUGCAACAUACGAUACAACCUACGAAGCAAGGAGAAAAAUGAUUAUGAACUGCAAAGAAUUGAAAUUAAGCAUAAACGAGUGUAUUUUUAUUAUUUCGUUUUGUCUUUUUUGCUUCAGUUUGUUUUGUUUGCUGAGAUUGGGGGUGACACGGGGAGGGAGUCAAAAAACAACCCUCCCCCCCCCGCCACCCUGGCAAGAUUGUCUGUAUUGUGUGGUUAGCUGAGUUGAGCAGGGGGUGGUUUCAGCUUGGUAAAAACAAACCCCCCUUGCAAUAAAUAAUUCACAAAGCUGUCUAAAUAAAAUUCCUAAUAAAAAUUGCAAAAUCUUGAA